UCUAUAUUAAGGUAUACAACACAAUGUUAAAUGAAACAUAUAUAUAUAUAUAGUAAAACUAUAGUGGAACAAUGAACAUACCCAUCAUCUCACAUAGUUACUGAUUAUUCCCCCAUUGGCAAGAGCAGGUAUAAUCUACUCAUUUAGCAAAAAGUCCUGAACACAAUAUACAAUAUGUAUUAACUAUAGUCCUCAUGUUGUACAUUUGAUCUUUGAUCUUUUCACUUGUUCAUCCUGCAUAUUUACUACUUUGCAUCCUUUGACCUACAUCUCAUUUCCUCCACCUUAUCCUGACCUUAGUAAUUACUGUUUUAUUCUCUAUCUCUAUAUAUUUAACCUUUUUUUUCUUGAUUCCACAUAUAAGUGAGAUCACGCAAUAUUUUUCUUUCUGUGUCUGGCUUAUUUCAUUUAGCAUAAUGUCUUCUAGGUCUAUCCAUGUUUUGGCAAAUGACAGGACUGCCUUCUUUUUAAAGGCUAAAUAAUAUUCUAAUUAUCUAUCUAUUGAUCUCUCUAUAUCACAGUUUCUUUAUCCAUUUGCCCAUUGAUGAACACCUAGGUUGUGUCUGUAUCUUGACUAUUGUGAAUUGUGCUGCAAUAAACUUGGGAGUGCAGAGAUAAUCUCAUUCCCUUUGGGGAUAUACCCAGAAGAGGGAUUGCUGGGUCAUAUGGUAGUUCUAUUUUUAAUUUACUUAGGAACCUCCAUACUGUCUUCCAUAAUGGCUGCACCAAUAUAUAAUACAUUCCCACUAACAGUGUACAAGUGCUCCCUCUUCUCCACACCCUCACCAACACUUGUUAGCUCUUGUCUUUUUGAUAAUAGCUAUCCUAACAUGUAUGAGGUGGUAUCUCAAAGUAGUUUUGAUUUGCAUUUUCCUGAUGACUGGUGAUAUUGAGCACCAUUUCAUAUACCUGUUGGUCAUUUUCUGUCAUCUUUGAAGAAAUGUCUAUUCAAGUCCUUUCCCCACUUUUUUUUAAUCAGGUUAUAUGUUGUCUUGCUAUUGAGUUGUAUGAGUUCUUCCUAAAUCCUGAAUAUUAAAACCUUGCCUGAUAUAUGGUUUGCAAAUAUUUUCUCCUUAUCUGUACAUUGCCUUUUCAUUUUGUUGAUUGUUUUCGUUCUGUGUAGAAGUUUUUUAGAUUGAUAUAAUUUCAUUUAUUUAUUGUUGCUUUUGUAGCCUGAGGUUUUGGUGUGAUAUCCAAGGAAACAUUGCCAAAGCCAGUGUCAAGGAGCUUUUCCCUUAUGUUUUCUUCUAGAUUUAUGGCUUCAGGUCUUACAUUCAGAUCUUUUAUCCAUUUUGGAUUGAUUUUUGUGUAUGGUGUAAUGUAAGAGUCUAAUUUCAUUCUUUUGCAUGUGGAAAUUCCAGCACCUAUUUAUUGAAGAGACUACCCUUUUCUCAUUUUGUCUUUUUGGUGCUCUUGUCAAAAAUUCAUUAACCAUACAUGUUUGGAUUUAUUUCUGGCUAUUUCACUGUCCUGUGUA
rnacentral:lncRNA from 10 species